rnacentral:rRNA from 1 species
UACGUAGGUGGCAAGCGUUGUCCGGAUUUAUUGGGUUUAAAGGGUGCGUAGGCGGUCUAUUAAGUCAGUUGUGAAAUACGGCAGCUCAACUGUCGAGGUGCAAUUGAUAUUGAUGGACUUGAGUACUGAUGAGGUAAGCGGAAUGGACGGUGUAGCGGUGAAAUGCUUAGAUAUCGUCCAGAACACCGAUAGCGAAGGCAGCUUACUAAGGAGUAACUGACGCUGAGGCACGAAAGUGUGGGGAUCAAACAGG